GUAUUUUAACCGUGCGAAGGUAGCGUGAUCACUCGUCUUUUAAAUAGAGACCCGUAUGAAUGGUAAAACGAGGGCUUAGCUGUCUCCCUUUUUCAUGUCAAUGAAAUUGAUCUUCCCGUGCAAAAGCGGGAAUUAUCUCAUAAGACGAGAAGACCCUGUGAAGCUUUAGACAAUAAGAUAGAUCUGGUUAAUAAACCCUAGUAAAGGAUUAAGCUUCUAACUCCUGUCUUAGCGUCUUCGGUUGGGGCGACCACGGGGAGUCACAUAACCCCCGCGUGGACUGGGUGCAAGAGUGUUUUUGUUCCUAAAGCUAAGAGCCUCCGUUCUAAUAAACAGAAUUUCUGACCUUAUAAGAUCCGG
rnacentral:rRNA from 1 species